AGUUGUUUAGCUUAAAUAUAAAGCAUAUAUUUUGAAAAUAUAAGAAAGAUGUAAAAUUUAAUGACUU
rnacentral:tRNA from 1 species